GCAGAUUUGCAUAAUUUGGAUUUUUUUUUUUUCCAAUGAAAGAAACUUAUUUGCAAACCAAACCAAAACCACUAGAAGUUCCCCAAACCCAGCUGCUUCGAUCUUCAUGAUUAUUCAGGGUUCAAACAUAACUGAAAACUCUUUUUCAGCCUUGUAAAGGGGACAGUGGAAGCAGAGGACACCCAUUUCUAUAAGAAAUGCGCAUGCAGGUAUCGCUUGCUUUCUGUAGUGCUC
rnacentral:lncRNA from 1 species